rnacentral:lncRNA from 1 species
UUAAGAAAAUUAUUAAAAAUACAAUAUACUGAUGAAAAACUCUGAAAGAAUACUCAUCUAUUCUAAAAUAUUCUUGUUAUCCUAAUUUCUAAAUCACAAACCCAAAUGUACAGCAUUUCUCAAAAAAAUUGGAAACUUUCCAAAAUCAGCAGUUUUUAAGAAAAUUAUUUAAAAAUACUAUAUACUGAUGAAAAAUUCUGAAACAAUACUCAUCUAUCCUAAAAUAUUCUUGUUAUUCUAAUUUCUAAAUCACAAACCCAAAUCUACAGUAUUUUUUGGAAAAUUGAAAACUUUCCAAAAAUAGCAGUUUUUAAGAAAAUUAUUUACAAAUACUAUAUACUGAUGAAAAAUUCUGAAAGAAUUCUCAUCUAUCCUAAAAUAUUAUUGUUAUCCUAAUUUUAAAUCACAAACCCAAAUGUACAGUAUUUUGUCAAAAAAUUGGAAACUUUCCAAAAAUAGAAGUUUUUAAUAAAAUUAUUUAAAAAUACUAUAUACUGAUGAAAAAUUCAGAAACAAUACUCAUCUAUCCUAAAAUAUUCUUGUUAUCCUAAUUUGUAAAUCACAAACCCAAAUCUACAGUAUUUCUCAAAAAAUUGAAAACUUUAAAAAAAUAGCAGUUUUUAAAAAAAUUAUUCUAAAAUACAAUGUAUCGAUGAAAAAUUCUGAAACAGUACUCAUCUAACCUAAAAUAAUCUUGUUAUCCUAAUUUCUAAAUCACAAACCCAAAUUUACAGUAUUUUUCAAAAAAUUGAAAACUUUCCAAAAUAGCAGUUUUUAAGAAGAUUAUUUAAAAAUACUAUAUACUGAUGAAAAAUUCUGAAAGAAUAGUCUUCUAUCGUAAAAUAUUAUUGUUAUCCUAAUUUCUAAAUCAAAAACCAAAAUCUACAGUAUUUCUUGGAAAAUUGAAAACUUUCCAAAAAUAGCAGUUUUUAAGAAAAUUAUUUAAAAAUACUAUAUAUUG